AUUGAACGCUGGCGGCAGGCCUAACACAUGCAAGUCGAACGAGUGGCGGACGGGUGAGUCAUGGCUGGGAAACUGCCUGAUGGAGGGGGAUAACUACUGGAAACGGUAGCUAAUACCGCAUACCAUCGGAUGUGCCCAGAUGGGAUUAGCUAGUAGGUGGGGUAGAGGCUCACCUAGGCGACGAUCCCUAGCUGGGAUGAGGGGUGGACCAGACACACUGGAACUGAGACACGGUCCACACUCCUACGGGAGGCAGCAGUGGGUAAUAGUGCACAAUGGGCGCAAGCCUGAUGCAGCCAUGCCGCGUGUAUGAAGAAGGCCUUCGGGUUGUAAAGUACUUUCAGCGGGGAGGCGUUACCCGCAGAAGAAGCACCGGCUAUCUCCGUGCCAGCAGCCGCGGUAAUAC
rnacentral:rRNA from 1 species